UUUCAGAUUUUUUCCGACCGCAGCCCAACUUGGCGACGAAUUCAAAAUUUUUGGCUCCCCGGACUACAAAAUGAGCCCGGAAAAAAAUCACAAGCCCGGGUGGGGGGCCGGGGCUAAAAAUAACAUCUCGUCAGAUCCAAAAAUCCAGUUGUUAGUUAGGGUAGACCAGGGG
ensembl:ncRNA Y47D3B.24 ncRNA